GACGAACGCUGGCGGCGUGCUUAACACAUGCAAGUCGAACGGUGAAGCCCUUCGGGGUGGCUCAGUGGCGAACGGGUGAGUAACACGUGAGCAACCUGCCCCUGGCUCUGGGACAACCACUGGAAACGGUGGCUAAUACCGGAUACGACCCGCCUCGGCAUCGAGUGUGGGUGGAAAGUUUGUCGGCUGGGGAUGGGCUCGCGGCCUAUCAGCUUGUUGGUGAGGUGAAGGCUCACCAAGGCGACGACGGGUAGCCGGCCUGAGAGGGCGACCGGCCACACUGGGACUGAGACACGGCCCAGACUCCUACGGGAGGCAGCAGUGGGGAAUAUUGCACAAUGGGCGAAAGCCUGAUGCAGCGACGCCGCGUGCGGGAUGACGGCCUUCGGGUUGUAAACCUCUUUCAGCUCCGAAGAAGCGAAAGUGACGGUAGGAGCAGAAGAAGCACCGGCUAACUACGUG
rnacentral:rRNA from 1 species